AAAGGAAUAGACGGGGGCCCGCACAAGCGGUGGAGCAUGUGGUUUAAUUCGAUGAUACGCGAAAAACCUUACCUGGGCUUGAACUGUGCUUGAUCGGUGUAGAGAUACACCUUCCUUCGGGCAGGUACAGAGGUGCUGCAUGGUUGUCGUCAGCUCGUGUCGUGAGAUGUUGGGUUAAGUCCCGCAACGAGCGCAACCCCCACUCCUUGUUGCUACCAGGUUAUGCUGGGCACUCUAGGGGAACUGCCGGUGAUAAACCGGAGGAAGGUGGGGACGACGUCAAAUCAUCACGGCCCUUAUGUCCAGGGCUACACACGUGCUACAAUGGUCGGUACAAAGAGUUGCAAUGCCGCGAGGUGGAGCUAAUCUCAAAAAACCGAUCUCAGUUCGGAUUGUAGUCUGCAACUCGACUGCAUGAAGCUGGAAUCGCUAGUAAUCGUGGAUCAGCACGCCACGGUGAAUACGUUCCCGGGCCUUGUACACACCGCCCGU
rnacentral:rRNA from 1 species